AACGAACGCUGGCGGCGUGCCUAACACAUGCAAGUCGUACGCGAAAGGGGGCAACCCCCGGUAGCGUGGCAGACGGGUGAGUAACACGUGGGCAAUCUGCCCGGAGGUGGGGGAUAACCCUUCGAAAGGAGGGCUAAUACCGCAUGAUAUCCCGGAGUUUUUGGACUUCGGGAUCAAAGCUGGCCUCUACUUGUAAGCUAGCGCCACCGGAGGAGCCCGCGUCCCAUUAGCUAGUUGGUGAGGUAACGGCNCACCAAGGCUACGAUGGGUAGCCGGCCUGAGAGGGCGACCGGCCACACUGGAACUGCGACACGGUCCAGACUCCUACGGGAGGCAGCAGUGAGGAAUCUUGCGCGAUGGGCGAAAGCCUGACGCAGCGACGCCGCGUGGAGGAUCAAGGUCUUCGGAUCGUAAACUCCUAGUCGAGCGGGACG
rnacentral:rRNA from 1 species